AACGACUCUCGGCAACGGAUAUCUCGGCUCUCGCAUCGAUGAAGAACGUAGCGAAAUGCGAUACUUGGUGUGAAUUGCAGGAUCCCGCGACCCACCGAGUCUUUGAACGCAAGUUGCGCCCGGAGCCUUCUGGCCGAGGGCACGUCUGCCUGGGCGUCACGC
rnacentral:rRNA from 1 species